GGAUGUGAGGGCGAUCUGGCUGCCACAUCUGCUACCCCACUGAUCGCCAGGGUUGGGCCGGCUGAUCUGGCUGGCUCUGCGGGUGUCCCCUUCCUCCCUCAACGCUCCCUGUGCGCUCCCUGUGCGACCCUCCCAAAGCCGCGCGCUCGGUCGAAGAGGACGCCCUCCCGCGAUAGAGGAGGCCGUUCCUCGGUCAAGGGUAUAGGAGCAGAUGUGCUCCCCUGCUAGAAUCUCCAAACAAGCUCCCAAGACAAAGUCCCAAAGACAGUGAAGUUCAAUUUUCCCCAGCUGUCUAAACCAAGCUGUUUUUUUUCCAAAGAAGCAGAUUUU
rnacentral:snRNA from 1 species